rnacentral:rRNA from 1 species
UACGUAGGGGUGCGAGCGUUUGUCCGGAAUUAUUGGGCGUAAAGAGCUUGUAGGCGGUCUGUCGCGUCUGCUGUGAAAAUCCGGGGCUCAACCCCGGACUUGCAGUGGGGUACGGGCAGACUAGAGUGUGGUAGGGGAGACUGGAAUUCCUGGUGUAGCGGUGAAAUGCGCAGAUAUCAGGAGGAACACCGAUGGCGAAGGCGGCUCUGGCCGGUAUGACGCUGAGGUGCGAAAGCGUGGGGAGCAAACAGG